AGUUAACUUACAUGAGGCUCAGGUUCCUUACCUGUCUGUAAAGUGGGAACAUUGAACUAGGUGAUCUUUAAGAUCCCUUCCGGCUCUAAAAUUGUUUGACAUUAUCUUGGUGGUCAGUAACUGUGAGAAACACAUUCCUGAGGAAAAUUUGCAGCUAUAGUUGACUUCAGGACAGCAUGUUUAGGGAGUAGAAUGUGCACUAGGCCUUCCAAUGAGGGGGAUGAGCAACAAUACCCCUCAGUUAAAUCGCAGCUUAUCACAAGGCACUCAGUUACCGAGCCACGUCACGCCAACAACAGGGGUACCAACAAUGUCACUUCACACGCCUCCAUCUCCAAGCAGGGGUAUUUUGCCUAUGAAUCCUAGGAAUAUGAUGAACCACUCCCAGGUUGGUCAGGGCAUUGGAAUUCCUAGCAGGACAAAUAGCAUGAGCAGUUCAGGGUUAGGUAGCCCCAACAGAAGCUCGCCAAGCAUAAUAUGUAUGCCAAAGCAGCAGCCUUCUCGACAGCCUUUUACUGUGAACAGUAUGUCUGGAUUUGGAAUGAACAGGAAUCAGGCAUUUGGA
rnacentral:sRNA from 1 species